rnacentral:rRNA from 1 species
UGGCGGCAGGCCUAACACAUGCAAGUCGAGCGCUCACUUCGGUGGGAGCGGCGGACGGGUUAGUAACGCGUGGGAAUAUACCCGGUACUAAGGAAUAGCCUUUGGAAACGAAGAGUAAUACCUUAUACGCCCUUCGGGGGAAAGAUUUAUCGGUAUCGGAUUAGCCCGCGUAAGAUUAGAUAGUUGGUGGGGUAAUGGCCUACCAAGUCUACGAUCUUUAGCUGGUUUUAGAGGAUGAUCAGCAACACUGGGACUGAGACACGGCCCAGACUCCUACGGGAGGCAGCAGUGGGGAAUCUUAGACAAUGGGCGCAAGCCUGAUCUAGCCAUGCCGCGUGAGUGAAGAAGGCCUUAGGGUCGUAAAACUCUUUCGCCAGAGAUGAUAAUGACAGUAUCUGGUAAAGAAACCCCGGCUAACUCCGUGCCAGCAGCCGCGGUAAUACGGAGGGGGUUAGCGUUGUUCGGAAUUACUGGGCGUAAAGCGCACGUAGGCGGACUGGAAAGUUGGGGGUGAAAUCCCGGGGCUCAACCUCGGAACUGCCUCCAAAACUAUCAGUCUAGAGUUCGAGAGAGGUGAGUGGAAUUCCAAGUGUAGAGGUGAAAUUCGUAGAUAUUUGGAGGAACACCAGUGGCGAAGGCGGCUCACUGGCUCGAUACUGACGCUGAGGUGCGAAAGUGUGGGGAGCAAACAGGAUUAGAUACCCUGGUAGUCCACACCGUAAACGAUGAAUGCCAGUCGUCGGCAAGUAUACUUGUCGGUGACACACCUAACGGAUUAAGCAUUCCGCCUGGGGAGUACGGUCGCAAGAUUAAAACUCAAAGGAAUUGACGGGGGCCCGCACAAGCGGUGGAGCAUGUGGUUUAAUUCGAAGC